GUGCCAGCCGCCGCGGUAAUACGUAGGUGGCAAGCGUUGUCCGGAUUUACUGGGCGUAAAGGAUGUGUAGGCGGAUAUUUAAGUGAGAUGUGAAAUCCCCGGGCUUAACUUGGGGGCUGCAUUUCAAACUGGAUGUCUAGGGUGCAGGAGAGGAAAGCAGAAUUCUUAGUGUAGUGGUCAAAUGCGUAGAGAUUAAGAAGAAUACCAGUGGCUAAGGCGGCUUUCUGG
rnacentral:rRNA from 1 species